UACGUAGGGUCCGAGCGUUGUCCGGAAUUACUGGGCGUAAAGAGCUCGUAGGUGGUUUGUCGCGUUGUUCGUGAAAACUCACAGCUCAACUGUGGGCGUGCGGGCGAUACGGGCAGACUAGAGUACUGCAGGGGAGACUGGAAUUCCUGGUGUAGCGGUGGAAUGCGCAGAUAUCAGGAGGAACACCGGUGGCGAAGGCGGGUCUCUGGGGAGUAACUGACGCUGAGGAGCGAAAGCAUGGGGAGCGAACAGG
rnacentral:rRNA from 1 species